UACGUAGGGUGCGAGCGUUAAUCGGAAUUACUGGGCGUAAAGCGUGCGCAGGCGGUUUUGUAAGCCAGGUGUGAAAUCCCCGGGCUCAACCUGGGAAUGGCAUUUGGGACUGCAAGGCUGGAGUGCGGCAGAGGAGACUGGAAUUCCUGGUGUAGCAGUGAAAUGCGUAGAUAUCAGGAGGAACACCGAUGGCGAAGGCAGGUCUCUGGGCUGACACUGACGCUCAUGCACGGAAAGCGUGGGGAGCAAACAGG
rnacentral:rRNA from 1 species